AAGAAGAGCCUGGGGUCUUAGAACCAGAAGGCUGUGCCACGGAUUGCUUAACUGUCCCCUGAACGAUGGCACUGGCCUCCAUUUUCCGGACCAUAUCCACUAUGGCAUGGAAGCUCUCCCUAUCUGCUGACUGGAUCAAGGAGGAAUAUCUGGAGUGGAGUUUCAUGAUAUACCUCCUUGACCUUUUCUGAUCCGAGUCAAGAUUUUGCCCUG
rnacentral:lncRNA from 1 species